UACGGGGGGGGCAAGCGUUGUUCGGAAUUACUGGGCGUAAAGCGCGCGCAGGCGGCUAUCCAAGUCAGGGGUGAAAUCCUGGAGCUCAACUCCAGAACUGCCUUUGAUACUGAGGAUCUUGAGUUCGGGAGAGGUGAGUGGAAUUCCUAGUGUAGAGGUGAAAUUCGUAGAUAUUAGGAAGAACACCAGUGGCGAAGGCGGCUCACUGGCCCGGUACUGACGCUGAGGCGCGAAAGCGUUGGGAGCAAACAGG
rnacentral:rRNA from 1 species